UGAGUAAGCCAGACAGUCGCGUGCAUCGAAUGAUACACGAGGAAAGUCCGAGCUCCAUAGGGCAAGGGUGCCAGAUAACGUCUGGUGAAGGUGACUUUAAGGAAAGUGCAACAGAAACAUACCGCCGAUCAGCAUUUGCUGAGGUAAGGUUGAAAUGGUGAGGUAAGAGCUCACCGGCAGCAUGGUAACAUGCUGGCCGUGUAAACCCCACCCGGAGCAAGACCAAGUAGGGCGUAAAAGGCGGCUGCCCGUCGCUGCCCGGUAGGUAGGUCGCUUGAGCGUACUGGCGACAGUACGCCUAGAUAGAUGAUUGUCAAAUACAGAACUCGGCUUAUAGACUUGCUCACACU
rnacentral:RNase_P_RNA from 1 species